rnacentral:hammerhead_ribozyme from 1 species
UGCGAAACGUCCCACCAUGGGACGUCGUCGUGGCGUGGCGGCCACGGCCUGAUGAGCAGCCG